UUGGAACAGGGCGUCGCAGAGGGUGAGAAUCCCGUACGCGGCCGAUGGUCAAGCCCGUGUGAAGCCCUUUCGACGAGUCGAGUUGUUUGCGAAUGCAGCUCUAAAUGGGUGGUAAAUUUCAUCUAAAGCUAAAUAUCUGCCGGAGACCGAUAGCGCACAAGUAGAGUGAUCGAAAGAUGAAAAGCACUUUGAAAAGAGAGUCAAACAGUACGUGAAAUUGUUGAAAGGGAAGCGCUUGCAACGAGACUCGUUCGCGGGUGUUCAGCCGUCCUUCGGGGCGGUGCACUCUCCCGCGUUUCGGGCCAGCAUCGGUUUUGGCGGCCGGAUAAAGGUCUCGGGAAUGUAUCUCUCCCCGGAGAGUGUUAUAGCCCGGGAUGCAAUGCGGCCAGCUGGGACCGAGGACCGCGCAUUCGCUAGGAUGCUGGCGUAAUCGUUGUUAGCGACCCGUCUUGAAACACGGACCAAGGAGUCGACCAAUCUGGCAAGUUUUAGGGCGUUAACCCCUGAAGCGCAAUGAAAGUGAACGCAGGUGGGAGCCCUCGGGUGCACCAUCGACCGAUCCUGAUGUCUUCGGAUGGAUUUGAGUAUGAGCCCGGCUGGUCGGACCCGAAAGGUGCGAUCAUUAUUUCUCUUCAUAUCUGGCAUAUUCAUUUUGCUAAUUUUUUUUUUCCAGAUGGUGAACUAUGCGUGAAUAGGGUGAAGCCAGAGGAAACUCUGGUGGAGGCUCGCAGCGGUUCUGACGUGCAAAUCGAUCGUCAAAUUUGCGCAUAGGGGCGAAAGACUAAUCGAACUAUCUAGUAGCUGGUUCCCGUCGAAGUUUCCCUCAGGAUAGCAGCAACGAAAACAGUCUCAUGAGGUAGAGCAAACGAUUAGAGGUCUUGGGGUUGUUAUCGACCUUAACCUAUUCUCGAACUUCGAAUAUGUGAGAAGUCCUUGUUACUUAGUUGAACGUGGACAUUUGGAUG
rnacentral:rRNA from 1 species